UUUUAUUCUCUUCCCUCUCUCCUCUUCCCUGAACAUCUUACAGGGAAAAAAAUUUUGAUGAAUUUUCUAAGCACCUUAAGGGUCUUGUUAAUCUUUAUAACCUUCCAGGGGACAACAAACUGAAGACUAAAAUGUACUUGGCUCUCCAAUCCUUAGAACAGGAUCUAUCUAAAAUGGCAGUUAUGUAUUGGAAAGCAACCAAUGCUGGUCCCUUGGAUAAGAUUCUUCAUGGAAGUGUUGGCUAUCUCACUCCAAGAAGCGGGGGUAUGUGAUGCUAUUUUGCUUGUUUAGAAAAAAACCUAAUUUUUAGUUGAAAUAUUACUACUUAAAAAUUUCAUCUUGGUUUUAUAAGCAGAAGGUGAAAUUCACUAGUCAUUU